rnacentral:rRNA from 1 species
UACGGAGGGUGCAAGCGUUAUCCGGAUUCACUGGGUUUAAAGGGUGCGUAGGUGGUUUUGUAAGUCAGUGGUGAAAGCCCGGAGCUUAACUCCGGAACUGCCAUUGAUACUGCUUAACUUGAAUCAAGUAGAGGUGGAUGGAAUAUUACAUGUAGCGGUGAAAUGCUUAGAUAUGUAAUAGAACACCGAUUGCGAAGGCAGUUCACUAUGCUUGUAUUGACACUGAGGCACGUAAGCGUGGGGAUCAAACAGG